ACUACGUGUGGCAGCAGUGGGGAAUCUUGCACAAUGGGGGAAACCCUGAUGCAGCGACGCCGCGUGAGUGAAGAAGUAUCUCGGUAUGUAAAGCUCUAUCAGCAGGGAAGAAAAUGACGGUACCUGACUAAGAAGUCCCGGCUAACUACUUGCCAGCAGCAGCGGUAAUACGUAGGGGGCACGCGUUAUCCGGAUUUACUGGGUGUAGAGGGACAGUAGACGGCGCUUCAAGUCCGGAGUGAAAGCCCAUGGCUUAACCAUGGUACUGCUCUGGAAACUGUGGAGCUUGAGUGCGGGAGGGGCAGGCGGAAUUCCGAGGGUAGCGGUGAAAUGCGUAGAUAUUAGGAGGAACACCGGCGGCGAAGGCGGCCUGCUGGACCGUAACUGACGUUGAGGCUCGAAAGCGUGGGGAGCAAACAGGAUUAGAUACCCCGGUAGUC
rnacentral:rRNA from 1 species